CUCUCACUUAGCUCUUUUAUUGUUCUCUUUUGAUAUCUGGUAUCUACCAUUUUUCCUCCACUCUCUCUCAGGAUCCUGACGUCAGGCUGUGUCUUGCUAGACAGGAGUGAGAACUAAAACCAAAGAAACCAGGUUCUGUUGUUCUUGCAUUUAUACAAAUCUUCCCUGCCUUAAAGGGCAGAAUCAAGUCAUGUAUCAGCCCACAUUCAAGACUAGCAUCUGUGAGAGAGAGAAUACUGGGAAUCAUAGUUCAUUGAUGAGAGAGAGUCUCUGCAACAUAGUCAGAGUGAUCAUUCUAAAGCACAAAUAUAAUUAUCAGACCCAGUUUUAAAAUCAGUGAAGCUCAGGCAAGAGCAUAAAUUGAAGUGCAUGGCUUCUGUGAUGGAUAAUUUUAGGUGUCAAAUUGACCAGACUAGGCAAUAUCUGCAGAACUGCUGAAGCAUUAUUUCUGUGUGUGUCUGUGAGAAUGUUUCUAGAAGAGAUUGGCGUGUGAGUCAGUGGAUUGUGGGGGUGGAGAUCUACCCUCAUUUUGGGCAGGAACCAUCCAAUUGGCUAGAGUCCAAGAUAAAGCAAAAAACGAACAGAAAACAGAGCUAGUAAAACCUUCUUCCCCUGCCCUUGGACAUCAGAACUCCAGGUUCUCUGGCCUUUCUUUGGAUUCCAGUAUGUACCACCCAUCCCCACAAGAUUAUCAGUCCUGUGGCCUUGGACUGAGAAUUACACAUUCAGCUUCUCU
rnacentral:lncRNA from 1 species